UAAUACGAAGGGUGCAAGCGUUAAUCGGAAUUACUGGGCGUAAAGCGUGCGUAGGCGGUUUCUUAAGUCUGCUGUGAAAUCCCCGGGCUCAACCUGGGAAUGGCAGUGGAUACUGGGGAGCUAGAGUGUGAUAGAGGAUGGUGGAAUUCCCGGUGUAGCGGUGAAAUGCGUAGAGAUCGGGAGGAACAUCAGUGGCGAAGGCGGCCAUCUGGAUCAACACUGACGCUGAGGCACGAAAGCGUGGGGAGCAAACAGGAUUAGAUACCCUGGUAGUCCACGCCCUAAACGAUGCGAACUGGAUGUUGGUCUCAACUCGGAGAUCAGUGUCGAAGCUAACGCGUUAAGUUCGCCGCCUGGGGAGUACGGUCGCAAGACUGAA
rnacentral:rRNA from 1 species